GUCCCUUGCGAUUGGGGACAUCGGAUAAAAUUAAAACAAUAUACAGUAGAUUAGCAUGGCCCAACGCGAAGAUGAGACGCAAAAACCGAGAAAAGAUACUAUAAAUG